rnacentral:tRNA from 1 species
CGGGACGUGGCGCAGUUUGGUUAGCGCACUGGUCUGGGGGACCAGGGGUCGCCGGUUCAAAUCCGGCCGUCCCGACCA